UACGUAGGGCGCAAGCGUUGUCCGGAAUUAUUGGGCGUAAAGAGCUCGUAGGCGGCCAGUUGCGUCCGCUGUGAAAUCCCGGGGCUUAACCCCGGGCGUGCAGUGGAUACGGGCUGGCUAGAGGCAGGCAGGGGAGAACGGAAUUCCCGGUGUAGCGGUGAAAUGCGUAGAUAUCGGGUGGAACACCAGAGGCGAAGGCGGCGAACUGGACAGCAACUGACACUAAACUGCGAAAGCGUGGGGAGCAAACAGG
rnacentral:rRNA from 1 species